rnacentral:rRNA from 1 species
GAUGAACGCUGGCGGCGUGCCUAAUACAUGCAAGUCGAGCGAACGGGCGAGAAGCUUGCUUCUCUGAUGUUAGCGGCGGACGGGUGAGUAACACGUGGAUAACCUACCUAUAAGACUGGGAUAACUUCGGGAAACCGGAGCUAAUACCGGAUAAUAUUUUGAACCGCAUGGUUCAAAAGUGAAAGACGGUCUUGCUGUCACUUAUAGAUGGAUCCGCGCUGCAUUAGAUAGUUGGUAAGGUAACGGCUUACCAAGGCAACGAUGCAUAGACGACCUGAGAGGGUGAUCGGCCACACUGGAACUGGGCCACGGUCCAGACUCCUACGGGAGGCAGCAGUAGGGAAUCUUACGCAAUGGGCGAAAGCCUGACGGAGCAACGCCGCGUGAGUGAUGAAGGUCUUCGGAUCGUAAAACUCUGUUAUUAGGGAAGAACAUAUGUGUAAGUAACUGUGCACAUCUUGACGGUACCUAAUCAGAAAGCCACGGCUAACUACGUG